GACGAACGCUGGCGGCGUGCUUAACACAUGCAAGUCGAACGAGAAUCUACUGAAAGAGUUUUCGGACAAUGGAUGUAGAGGAAAGUGGCGGACGGGUGAGUAACGCGUGAGGAACCUGCCUUGAAGAGGGGGACAACAGUUGGAAACGACUGCUAAUACCGCAUGAUGCAUAGGGAUCGCAUGAUUCUUAUGCCAAAGAUUUAUCGCUUCAAGAUGGCCUCGCGUCUGAUUAGCUAGUUGGCGGGGUAACGGCCCACCAAGGCGACGAUCAGUAGCCGGACUGAGAGGUUGAACGGCCACAUUGGGACUGAGAUACGGCCCAGACUCCUACGGGAGGCAGCAGUGGGGAAUAUUGGGCAAUGGGCGCAAGCCUGACCCAGCAACGCCGCGUGAAGGAAGAAAGGCUUUCGGGUUGUAAACUUACUUUGACAGGGGAAGAGCAGAAGACGGUACCCUGAAAACAAGCCACGGCUAACUACGUGCCAGCAG
rnacentral:rRNA from 1 species